rnacentral:lncRNA from 1 species
UCCUACGGGAGCCAGAUCUUGUCUCCAGCUCCAGCUGCGGGAAGACUUCGCUCGGACUCCUACGGGAGCCGGACCUUGUUCCCUACUCCGACUGCAGACGGACUUCGUCCGGACUCCUACGGGAGCCGAGCUCCGCCCAUGACUUCGCUCACAGGUAAACUUCGUCCGGACUCCUACGGGAGCCGAACUUCACCCACAACUCCCA